AUGCUGCUUUAAGAACCAGGCUAUAAGAAGGCUCACUUUGCUGAAAAUAUCAGAGGUCUCAGCACCCCUUCAGACCCACUAGGAAAUUAUACAGGAAAUUCCAUGCUCCUGGGCCAACCCCAUUGUUUGAAUGCCCCUGCACAUCUCCCAGGGAGCUGCUCUAAAGCCUGGCCAGAAAGAAGAAAUAGAUACGGACCCAAUGUGACUGGAAAAUUUGGGCAGGAAGCUAUGAAAUGAGAUGCAACUUGGAAAAAUACAGAUUGCUACAUCUGGGAGAGAAAAUAAUAUGUCACUAGCAACCC
rnacentral:lncRNA from 1 species